UCAUGGCUCAGGAUGAACGCUAGCGGCAGGCCUAAUACAUGCAAGUCGGACGGGAUUCAGGGAGUAGCUUGCUACGAACUGAUGAGAGUGGCGCACGGGUGCGUAACGCGUGAGCAACCUACCCAUAUCAGGGGGAUAGCCUCUCGAAAGAGAGAUUAACACCGCAUAACAUCAUUUACCGGCAUCGGAUUAUGAUCAAAUAUUUAUAGGAUAUGGAUGGGCUCGCGUGACAUUAGCUAGUUGGAGGGGUAACGGCCCACCAAGGCUACGAUGUCUAGGGGCUCUGAGAGGAGAAUCCCCCACACUGGUACUGAGACACGGACCAGACUCCUACGGGAGGCAGCAGUAAGGAAUAUUGGUCAAUGGAGGGAACUCUGAACCAGCCAUGCCGCGUGCAGGAUGACUGCCCUAUGGGUUGUAAACUGCUUUUGUCAGGGAAUAAACCUUUCCACGUGUGGGAAGCUGAAUGUACCUGAAGAAUAAGGAUCGGCUAACUCCGUGCCAGCAGCCGCGGUAAUACGGAGGAUCCAAGCGUUAUCCGGAUUUAUUGGGUUUAAAGGGUGCGUAGGCGGUCCUAUAAGUCAGUGGUGAAAGACGGCAGCUUAACUGUCGCAGUGCCUUUGAUACUGUAGGACUUGAAUCUAUUUGAAGUGGGCGGAAUAAGACAAGUAGCGGUGAAAUGCAUAGAUAUGUCUUAGAACUCCGAUUGCG
rnacentral:rRNA from 1 species